rnacentral:rRNA from 1 species
GUACCUACUAGCCUACGACGGGUACGGGUUGUGAGAGCAAGAGCCCGGAGAUGGAUUCUGAGACAUGAAUCCAGGCCCUACGGGGCGCAGCAGGCGCGAAAACUUUACAAUGCUGGAAACAGCGAUAAGGGGACCUCGAGUGCCAGGAUACAAUCCUGGCUGUCGUAAUGCCUAAAAGCAUUGCAUAGCAAGGGCCGGGCAAGACCGGUGCCAGCCGCCGCGGUAACACCGGCGGCUCGAGUGGUAACCGCUAUUAUUGGGUCUAAAGGGUCUGUAGCCGGCUGACUAAGUCUCUUGGGAAAUCUGACAGCUUAACUGUCAGGCUUUCAGGAGAUACUGAUCGGCUCGAGACCGGGAGAGGUGAGAGGUACCUCAGGGGUAGGGGUGAAAUCUUGUAAUCCUUGAGGGACCACCAGUGGCGAAGGCGUCUCACCAGAACGGAUCUGACGGCAAGGGACGAAAGCUAGGGGCACGAACCGGAUUAGAUACCCGGGUAGUCCUAGCCGUAAACGAUACUCGCUAGGUGUCGGCCACGGUGCGACCGUGGUCGGUGCCGUAGGGAAGCCGUGAAGCGAGCCACCUGGGAAGUACGGCCGCAAGGCUGAAACUUAA